rnacentral:tRNA from 1 species
GGGGAUGAAGCUCAAUGGUAGAGCACUUGUCUAGCAAGCACAAGGUCUUGGGUUCAAUCCCUAGAUCCCCA